GACGAACGCUGGCGACGCGCUUAACACAUGCAAGUCGAACGGAAAGGCCUGCUUUCCCUUGUGGAUUGCGGGUACUCGAGUGGCGAACGGGUGAGUAACACGUGAGUGAUCUGCCCCCAACUUGGGUAUAAGCCUGGGAAACUGGGUCUAAUUCCCGAUAGGACUGCAGGGUGGUGCCUGUGGUGGAAAACGAUUUUCUAGUGGUUGGGGAUGAGCUCGCGGCCUAUCAGCUUGUUGGUGGGGUAAUGGCCUACCAAGGCGGCGACGGGUAGCCGGCCUGAGAGGGUGGACGGCCACAGUGGGACUGAGAGACGGCCCAGACUCCUACGGGAGGCAGCAGUGGGGAAUAUUGCACAAUGGGCGGAAGCCUGAUGCAGCGACGCCGCGUGGGGGAUGACGGCCUUCGGGUUGUAAACUCCUUUCGACCGCGAGGAAGCCACCUGGUUGGAAGGGUGGUGACGGUAGUGGUAGAAGAAGCACCGGCUAACUACGUG
rnacentral:rRNA from 1 species